CACGUAGGGGGCGAGCGUUGUCCGGAUUUAUUGGGCGUAAAGAGCUCGUAGGCGGUUCGGCAAGUCGGGUGUGAAAUUUCGAGGCUCAACCUCGAAACGCCACUCGAUACUGCUGUGACUGGAGUCCGGUAGAGGAGUGCGGAAUUCCAGGUGUAGCGGUGAAAUGCGCAGAUAUCAGGAGGAACACCAACGGCGAAGGCAGCACUCUGGGCCGGUACUGACGCUGAGGAGCGAAAGCGUGGGGAGCAAACAGG
rnacentral:rRNA from 1 species